rnacentral:rRNA from 1 species
UACGUAGGGGGCAAGCGUUGUCCGGAUUUAUUGGGCGUAAAGAGCGUGUAGGCGGCCAGACAGGUCCGUUGUGAAAACUCGAGGCUCAACCUCGAGAUGUCGAUGGAAACCGUCUGGCUAGAGUCCGGAAGAGGAGUGUGGAAUUCCUGGUGUAGCGGUGAAAUGCGUAGAUAUCAGGAGGAAUACCGAUGGCGAAGGCAGGUCUCUGGGCUGACACUGACGCUCAUGCACGAAAGCGUGGGGAGCAAACAGG